rnacentral:lncRNA from 1 species
GAUUGAAAUUUUGCAUGGAUGAUCAUUGAUAUGUUGAGAUGUCAUGAGAAUUUUUCUGGAUUUUUAUAUGGCAUUUUCAAUUUGAUUGAUAUUUUUCAUCUCUGUUGGUUAAUUGUGCAAGCUUGUAUGACACAUGUUUGUAUAUCUUGUGUGAAAUGCUCAUAUGGUUUUAGAUGAAUGUGAAAUUUGGUAUGAUGGUUGUAGACACAUUGUAGGACAUCACUGUUUUGGUCCCAUUCAUUUCUUAAUUGAUUUCAUUGACUUAUGAAUUUUUGAAGUGAAUGCAUGUGUUGUUGCCUUGAAUUGGCUUGAAUAAUUGUGUCUGUAUUUCUUGAUUUUCAUUGCCCUAGUUCCUUUUGUCCAAUUGAGCUAAAAAUUGA